GUAGAAUAGUCAUUGCAUUUCUCGUGUUUAUAAAGUCUUAUUAUUAAGCAAAGCUAGUAAGGGGUGACAAACCAAAAUCAUGCUAGAAAUUAACCAUUGGAGGACCGAUGAUCAUCAUCCAACGUCUUAAUACUUAAUUGCUUAAAAAUACAUGUAAAAGUUAACUCCUUAACUCCUUAUCCCAAGUGCUGAGUCAGACCUCAGAAAAUCCCACCUAUUUAUUGGGUGACAACUCUCCAAUCAUUAUCAACAACGAACAUGGAAGAAGCCCUGAGGAGUCUGAGGCCGCGGCAUCAUGGUGUGGGCCCCGCCGUUUACUUCCCACUGGCACUGCUCCUCUCCGCUCAUCCCUUUCUUCCCACUACUCUCUCCGCUCCUUCCUCUAAACGCAGCGUUUCAUCCUCCUCCCCCGCCAUGGCCACUGCCAAGGCUCAGCCUCUUCCUCCUCCUCCGGUGGCCAACAAGGUGAAGCACGAAAUGGAGAUGUUCGGCGACGUCAGGAUCGACAACUACUACUGGCUUCGCGACGAUUCUCGUUCCGAUCCCCAAGUUCUUUCCUACCUUCGGGAUGAGAACGCCUACACCGAUCUCCUCAUGUCCGGCACCAAACACUUAGAAAAUCAGAUUUAUGCUGAAAUAAGAGGACGAAUCAAGGAGGAUGAUAUAUCUGUGCCUUUACGCAAGGGGCCUUACUAUUACUAUCAGAGGACUUUAGAGGGGAAGGAGUAUGUUCAAUAUUGUAGGCGCCUUGUGCCCAAUGUUGAGGUUCCACCUUCUGUGUAUGAGACCAUGCCAACCGGACCUAGUGCUCCUCCUGAGCAUGUUAUCCUUGAUGAGAAUAUCAAGGCUCAAGAGCAUGCAUAUUAUAGCAUUGGCGCUUUUAAGAUCAGUCCAAAUAGUAAGUUGGUAGCAUAUGCAGAAGACACUAAAGGUGAUGAGAUCUAUACUGUUUAUGUCAUUGAUGCUGAGACUAGAGCUCCUGUAGGGAAGCCUAUAGUAGGUGUAACGCCAUAUCUUGAAUGGGUUGGUGAUGAAGCUUUACUUUAUAUCACAAUGGAUGAGACUCUUCGGCCAGACAAGGUGUGGCUACACAAGUUGGAAACAGAUCAGUCAAGUGAUUCCUGUCUUUAUCAUGAAAAGGAUAAUAUGUUUUCUGUUGAUCUUGAAGCUUCUGAAAGCAAGAAAUUCGUGUUUGUUGGAUCUGAAAGUAAAACUACAAGGUUCAUCUUCAAUCUUGAUGUUUCAAAACCAGAAGGAGGACUCAUGGUUUUGACACCCCGUUUAGAUGGCAUUGACACAUCAGCCAGCCAUCGUGGGAAUCAUUUUUUUAUUAAGCGCAGAAGUGAUGAGUUUUUUAAUUCGGAAGUACUCGCUUGUCCACUGAAUAAUAUAUCUGAAACCACAGUUCUUCUUCCACAUAGAGAAAGUGUGAAAAUUCAAGACAUACAGCUUUUCAGUGGUCAUCUUGUUGUAUAUGAGCGUGAAAAUGGUCUGCCUAAAGUUACUUUUUAUCGCCUUCCAGCAGUUGGAGAACCACUUGGAAGUCUUCAAGGUGGUCGGACUGUCGAUUUUCUUGAUCCUAUAUACUCUGUGGAUCCAUCAGAGUCACAAUUUUCUUCCAGCAUUUUACGGUUUUCUUAUAGCUCAUUGAGGACUCCUGACUCUGUAUAUGAUUAUGAUAUGAACACAGGUGUUUCCGUUUUGAAGAAGAUUCAAACAGUAUUGGGGAAUUUUGAUGCAUCGAAAUAUAUAACUGAAAGGAAAUGGGCCAAUGCUCAAGAUGGCACUCAAAUUCCUAUAUCAAUUGUUUAUCGGAAGGAUCUAGUGAAACUUGAUGGAUCUGAUCCAUUACUGCUUUAUGGCUAUGGUUCCUAUGAGAUCUGCGUGGAGGCCCAUUUCCAGGAGUCAAGGCUGUCCUUGUUAGAUCGAGGUUUUAUAUUUGCAAUAGCUCACAUCCGUGGGGGUGGUGAAAUGGGGAGGCAGUGGUAUGAGAAUGGAAAGUUGUUGAAGAAGAAAAAUACAUUCACUGAUUUUAUUGUUUGUGCCGAGUAUUUAAUAGAGAUAAAAUACUGUUCAAAGGAAAAGCUGUGUAUUGAAGGAAGAAGUGCAGGAGGGUUGCUUAUUGGUGCUGUUCUUAAUAUGCGGCCUGAUUUAUUUAGGGCUGCUAUUGCUGGAGUACCUUUUGUAGAUGUGCUUACUACAAUGCUGGAUCCAACUAUCCCUCUUACAACUUCAGAGUGGGAGGAAUGGGGUGACCCUCGGAAGGAGGAGUUUUACUUCUACAUGAAGUCAUAUUCCCCUGUGGAUAAUAUCAAGGCACAGAAUUAUCCAAACAUUCUUGUUACAGCUGGUUUGAAUGAUCCACGUGUUUUGUACUCAGAACCUGCUAAGUUGGUGGCAAAGCUGAGGGAUACAAAAACAGAUGAUAAUAUACUUCUAUUUAAAUGUGAAAUGGCUGCUGGGCAUUCCUCAAAGUCAGGGAGUGGGCUAUUCUCCAUUAUUUCAGGCAACUAUUUGAGAAGCUCCAAGAAUAUGCCUUCACUUAUACUUUUAUCAUCAAGUCUUUAGACAUGGCCCCUCCCCUUGGCUCUGGGCAAAACUGAUUCAGUCCGGUAGGACAUGAGGGAUGGACUUUUAACAUUUCUGGAUGAAGAUUUGUUUUGGUAGAGACAAAGAACAGCUCAUGCCCGGUUUUCAUCACUGGAUACCAAGUGGCAGGAGUCCUUAUCACUUUGGAAGCAAUAAAAGAAUAAGCCCAAUAAGGUCAAAAGACGCCAGAACUCAGAAUCUGAUUCCUGAACAUGUUGGCAACCAAUCUCUCCUGUGACAUGAUUUUCAUUCAUCAAGAAUCUCUACAAUUCUUCUGGGGUUCAGUAUUUGAGUUUAUAUUGCUGUGUUAUACACUGCAGACUUAAUUUAUCUAUUUGCCUUUUGAA